UUGCGAACAACAAGAAUUGGUUGGAGAAAUGCAAUGGUUACAGAAAAGAACAUAAACUACAGAUUGGAAAAUUUCUGCUGGCUGUACAAAAAACAUGCACUGUCGCACAGCAGCUUCCGUCAAAUUCAGCAGCAGGCAUUGUUAUUUCGAAUGUGGAUACAUUUGAGUUUAAGAGAAUACACGCGGGUAAAAACAGAGAUUAUGUUGUUACCAUCAACCAAAUAAAGCACGCGAACAACGAGUUGUACGUUUGUGCACAGGUACCAACUACGAUAACUGCAAUAUCACAUCUUGCAAAGCAGCACCUUAGGAAAAUAAAUGUCGCUCUCGAGCACCAGCGUUUCUGUCAAUCAUACCAGCAGAUAAUCGAUGCGAAAGGAUGGGGUGACUUCUUGGAAAUCGUUCUAUGUGAGAUAAAAACGAUAUUCCUGUCGCGUUGUUUAAGGCAGCGACGGCAAACACUACCAAGAAGACUGGGGCAGAAACUUCUCUAAUAAGCUGGAGUUUUGUCCGAUUUUAAAAGGAUGAGUGUUUACAUAUCAUGUUUUGAUAUUGAUGGAGAUUCUUGUGAAGAGAUCGAAAAAGAGCUACAAAAAACAUCAUAUGAACAUCAUACGACAUGAAAACACACCAGGAAGAUUCCUGCUCUCAGAUGGUGACAAUCGAGAAGGAUGGAUAAUAGUUAUUGUAUCGAAAGAAUCGCUGAAAAGCGAACUGCUUUCUUUCAAUCUCAUAAAAUGCCUGACUGCCGAUGUUGAUGACGGCAGAUUGAGGGUCCUGCUUGUAUUGCGCAGCGGUGUGAAUAUCUCAGAAGUACCAAUAUGUAUUCGUUGGGUUACAGUAUUCAGCGAAGAUGAGAAAUCCUACAAAAACUGGAUUGAGAACCAGUAGAUAUUGGCAGGGCACUUCCAGCAGGGGAUGUUAUGUUGGGCCUUUGUCUUGAACUACCUGAAUAUUGUGCUGACGACCAGCAGUAAGUGUCAGUGUACUCGGGGAUUUUAUUUGUUCUGCCGCGUAGAUAAUUGAUUCCAUGCAUCCUACGGUAAAUUGAACUUUGGGUAAAGUUUAACAUUAACCUAUGUCUUAAGUGUUGAAACAAUAGUGUUAAUAUGUGUCUACACGUAGUCUAUACGUACCGAUCCGGCAUUGGAUGUUUUGGUUUUGGUAUAAAUGUAUGAAAAAAGGAAUUCCGAUUAAACAAAUUAAUGUUUUCGGUACAUUAUUUUUAAGCCCAAUUGCUAUGCAAUACAGACAUUAAAUUUUCUAUUUGUUUCGACAUUUUGUAAUCAUCUACAUGGGUUUCGUGUAUGCAUAAUAUAUUUUGUUUUAUUAAUUAAAAUGUAAUAUUUAAUGAAGGUUUGUUUUUGUUUGGAUCGAAAUUCGUUAAUAUUUAUAGUUUCUAUGUUUAACUCCAUGUUCUAGUUUAUAACUCAGGUUGUAGUUAAAAGAAAAAAUGGCGACGUCCAUGAUUUAGUGAUAGGAUUGAAAAACCGAUAAUAGUGUUUAAAAGAUUUAAACCCGGUAGAAAAGAGACUAGGCCAACGAUUUUGUACUCGCUGUAAUGAAUAUACUACGUACCGAAGUAAUUUGGAAACAGAUAGAUGCGCUCAA